rnacentral:rRNA from 1 species
GACGAACCGUGCAAACGUUGUUCGGAAUUACUGGGCGUAAAGCGCGUGUAGGCUGCUUCAUAAGUCGGGUGUGAAAGCCCUGGGCUCAACCUAGGAAGUGCACUCGAAACUGCGAAGCUUGAGUCCUGGAGAGGAAGGCGGAAUUCUCGGUGUAGAGGUGAAAUUCGUAGAUAUCGAGAGGAACACCGGUGGCGAAGGCGGCCUUCUGGACAGUGACUGACGCUGAGACGCGAAAGCGUGGGGAGCAAACAGG